UACCAGCACCCCGAGUGGUCGGGACGUUUAUUGGGCCUAAAGCCUCCGUAGCCGGUUCUACAAGUCUUCCGUUAAAUCCACCUGCUUAACAGAUGGGCUGCGGAAGAUACUAUAGAGCUAGGAGGCGGGAGAGGCAAGCGGUACUUAGUGGGUAGGGGUAAAAUCCGUUGAUCCAUUGAAGACCACCAGUGGCGAAGGCGGCUUGCCAGAACGCACUCGACGGUGAGGGAUGAAAGCUGGGGGAGCAAACCGG
rnacentral:rRNA from 1 species